CGAAUUUAGUGAAUUCCAUUUGCCUAUAGCAUCUGGAAAUAACUAAUUCGUCCCAAAAAUAAGGUUUAUUUAUUUUUCAUCCGGAACUUCCACACCGCCGUGCGUUCUAAACCUUUUCUUAUUUAUUUAUUUAUUGGUUUUAUUUAUUUGUUUUUUUUAUUUAAAGGGAAAUUCGGACAAUCAGCAGUCGACAGAAAUCCCUCAAGAAACCAUCACCAAAGAACCAUAUAACCAGACCAUUGUAAAGGAACCAGAUAACGGGUCGGAAGCAGGGAUCGUCUAAAAGGAUAGGGAGUAUUGAAGAAAACCUGUACAAUGAACUCUUAAAAGAUUUCCCCCUUCUCUAUUUGUGAAAUGAACUUGGUUACAAUAAAGAACUUAAAAAU
rnacentral:misc_RNA from 1 species